GAUGAACGCUGACGGCGUGCUUAACACAUGCAAGUCUUUCGCGAAGCUGUGCUUGCACAGCCUAGCCAGGGCGGACAGGUGGUUAACGCGUCAGGAACUUGCCCUCCAUUCAGGGAUAACAGACGGAAACGACUGAUGAGACCUGGUGAAGUCAGCCGGACUCGUGUCCAGCCUGAUGGAAAGAGAUGCUGCAGGGGAGCCUUGCGUCCUAUUAGCUUGUUGGUGGGGUAACGGCCCACAAAGGCGAUGAUGGGUAGCCGUCCGGAGAGGGUGGACGGCCACAGGGGGACGGAGAGACGGCCCUUACUCCGGCGGGAGGCAGCAGUGGGGAAUAUUGGACAAUGGGGGCAACCCUGAACCAGCAAUGCUGGGUGCAUGAUGAAGGUUGUCGGAUUGUAAAGUGCUGCCAGCAGGGAAGAAAAAAUGACGGUACCUGCAGAAGAAGCGACGGCUAAAUACGUG
rnacentral:rRNA from 1 species